AGCUAGUUGGUGAGGUAAUAGCUCACCAAGGCAAUGACGGAUAGCUGGUCUGAGAGGACGACCAGCCACAAUGGAACUGAGACACGGUCCAUACUCCUACGGGAGGCAGCAGUGAGGAAUCUUCCACAAUGGGCGAAAGCCUGAUGGAGCGACACCGCGUGAAGGAUGAAGCUUUUAUUAGUGUAAACUUCUUUUUUGUGGGAAGAUAAUGACGGUACCACAAGAAUAAGGGGCGGCAAACUAUGUGCCAGCAGCCGCGGUAAUACAUAGGCCCCAAGCGUUAUCCGGAAUUACUGGGCGUAAAGAGUUCGUAGGCGGAGGAAUAAGUCAGAAGUGAAAGGUCCGGGCUCAACCCGGUACUUGCUUCCGAAACUAUUCCCCUUGAAUGAGGGAGAGGGAGGCAGAAUGGUAAGAGUAGGGGUGCAAUCCGUUGAUACUUACCGGAAUACCAAAAGCGAAGGCAGCCUCCUGGAACUCUAUUGACGCUGGGGAACGAAAGCGUGGGGAGCGAAAAGGAUUAGAUACCCUUGUAGUCCACGCCCUAAACGAUGGAUACUUAGUGUCGGGGUAACCCGGUGCUUCAAGUCAACACAUUAAGUAUCCCGCCUGAGAAGUACGGUCGCAAGAUUAAAACUCAAAUGAAUAGACGGGGACCCACACAAGCAGUGGAUCAUGUUGUUUAAUUCGACACUAAACGAGAAACCUUACCUAGGCUUGACAUCGAAGGAAUCCGCUGGAAACAGUGGAGCACCCGCAAGGGACCCGAAGACAGGCGCUGCAUGGUUGUCGUCAGCUCGUGCCUUGAGGUGUUCGGUUAAGUCCGUUAACGAGCGCAACCCAUGUCGUUAGUUACUAUGUCUAACGAGACUGCCUGAGUUAAUCAGGAGGAAGGUGUGGAUGACGUCAAAUCAGCAUGGCCCUUAUGCCUAGGGCCACAAACAUGAUACAAUGGUCGGUACAAUGUGUAGCUAUCCCGCGAGGGUGAGCCAAUCACCAAAGCCGAUCUCAGUCCAGAUUGGAGUCUGCAACUCGACUCCAUGAAGUUGGAAUUGCUAGUAAUCGUGAAUCAGCUAUGUCACGGUGAAUCUGUUCCUGGGUCUUGUACUCACCGCCCGUCAAAGCAUGGGAGGUGGUUCUACUGGAAGUCCGCGAAGUAAUAU
rnacentral:rRNA from 1 species